rnacentral:snoRNA from 1 species
CUGCAAAUAUCCUCACUGUUCUGAUUUUGUGAUAAUCAGUGCAGGCUGAACACUGGCUGUGUGAGGACCUUGCAUGUGUCCCCAGACCUAGUUUUUUGUUUGUCUGUUUGUUUUUUGUUUUUCCUAAGUCUGGAUUUUAAAAUGCUGGUGAU